rnacentral:rRNA from 1 species
GAUGAACGCUGGCGGCGUGCUUAACACAUGCAAGUCGAACGAAGCACCUCUCCCGAAGAUUGACACAGCUUGCUGUAGAUUGAUUCAUUUGAGGUGACUGAGUGGCGGACGGGUGAGUAACGCGUGGGUAACCUGCCUCAUAGAGGGGGACAACAGUUGGAAACGACUGCUAAUACCGCAUAGUAAGAAGAAUUCGCAUGUUUUCUUCUUGAAAGAUUUAUCGCUAUGAGAUGGACCCGCGUCUGAUUAGCUAGUUGGUAAGGUAACGGCUUACCAAGGCGACGAUCAGUAGCCGGCUUGAGAGAGUGAACGGCCACAUUGGGACUGAGACACGGCCCAAACUCCUACGGGAAGCAGCAGUGGGGAAUAUUGCACAAUGGGGGAAACCCUGAUGCAGCGACGCCGCGUGAGUGAAGAAGUAUUUCGGUAUGUAAAGCUCUAUCAGCAGGGAAGAUAAUGACGGUACCUGACUAAGAAGCCCCGGCUAACUACGUG